AUGGUUAAAGCCCCAGUUUUUGUGGCUGAGGUGGUGCUGCAGCAUGGGGACAGCCGCCUCUACCGCCUCAGGGCCCAGGAGGAGGCCACAACCUGGUUCCAUCUGCACGUUGUGGAGCCGCUGUCCCCACCAGAAAUUGUGGGCAACUCCUUGGUGAAGGCAGGAGGCAACACCAAACUGGUUUGCACCGUGGUGCGAGGGACAGCAGAUGCCUACUGGUGGAAGAAAAAUGGGGAGCUGCUCGUGGGAAGUGAGCGCAUCCAGUUUGUGGAGAACACCACGCUUCGCAUCCUGCGGGUGUCCAUCAGUGACAGUGGCUACUACACCUGCGUGGUGAGCAACGCCGUGAGCCAGAAUGAGACCUCCUUCCUGCUCAAGGUCCACCACUCUGCCCAUGUGGUGCUGCCUGUGGUCCUGUCCUGUGUCAUGGUCGGCUCACUCGCAGGUGUCUUUGUCUGGUACCAGAGAAGGAAGAACUCAUGUGACAGCUGUUGGUAAGAUGCCUCCAGCCCCCUCUUGGGGUGGCCCCCUUGCUUCAGCCAAAAUUUUCUUUCUAUAAGCCCAAAUUUCUCCUUGGCUGGAUCCAAGUGAGCUGGAGAAGUAGGAGAGCUCAGGGCACUAUUCCAGCUUCUCUAGUAAGAGGCUGCUCUCCCACCCUGGAGGCUCAAAGGGUUUGCUGUGCCGUCUAUUUAAUCCCCACUCUGGAAAUAUUCCUGAUUCCUCCACUCAGAGCCUGACAGUCCUGGUUACCUUAGCUCUGAAUAAUGGGUAGGCUUUUGAGUACUCCAGAGAUUUCUGGGAAGUGAGUGAUUCUCGAGAUUUUUUCAGAAAUCGCUCCCUCUCUGUGACCACAAACACAUUCAGGCUGUUCACUGGAGCUUCUUGGAGGUUGAGGGUAAGGAUGGAGAGGAUAAGGAUGGAAAACCCAUCCUAUGAGGUGGUAGGUUACAAACAAGGAGCUCUCAGGAGCUCUCUUGUGCAGUCAGAACCCAGGGAACUCCAGGCAGAUAAAUUGGCCAGAGUAGCUCUUGAGAUCUGGAGUAGGGCAGAAGUCCAGACCUCCUGGUGCUGCCACUGCCAGUGUGGGACACUGAGCUAGCUGAGGCCCUGGGGGGGGUCCAGGUGCCCAGAACAUGGCUCACGUGGGGCCCUCUCUUCUUGCAGGUAGUGCUGGGUCAGCCCUGCUGCUACCCUUCCCUGGUGACCCUGGUGAUGGGUACUGCUGGGAGUGCCAGGUGUCCCAUCCCAUCCCAGCCUCUCCUGUGCUCACCUGUGAAAUGUUCAAGCUGCCAGAACCUGCAAAUAUUUUUUUGGAAAACACUGGUUUGGACUAUUUCUAUGUUGUCCUGUUCUUCCUGUUGUGCAUCCCUGGGGAGAGGGAUGUACCUGCUCCCUCCAUCCUCCUGGCUUCCUCCAGAGGCCUCGAUGUGCUCUUGGCUCUGGAAGAGCCACUGUCCCUGCUGGGCAAAUCCACAGUCCUGGGGCUGCUGGGAGGUGCCUCCUGGGGGCCUCCUGGUGUCCUGCUGUGCCAGGGGUUUGCCAGGGGGCUCAGGGGCUGAGGCUCUGGGCAUCCUGCUCCUUGUGACCCUUGGAGGGAGGAAAGGGCAGGAUUGUGCUGGGUGUGCAGCUGGAGGGAGAGGAGGCAGCAGAAGCUGGCAGGGAAUGGGGGAGCAGCAAAGGAGUUAGGUUUCUGAAAGCAGAUCCCAAGGAAAUCCCUGCAGCUGGCUGAAGUGGGGGUGCUCCUGAGCCCAUCUCCUCCAGCCCUGGGCUCUGCAGGAUCGGGGGAUAUCCCUGGGGACAUCCCUCCUCUUCCCAGCACCAGUGCUGGUGCCAGCUUGUCCUUCCCAUUUGCUGUUCCUGCGGGUGACAUCGGCCUUGGCCUGGCUGGAUACAGGGAGCCCUGCUCCUGUCCCCUGAUGUCCUCUCCCUCCCCGUGCUGCCUCUGCAGGGCUUUCCUAGGCUGUGCUGUGGAGGGGAUGUUACUCUUUCGGCUGAGCCUGGAGGCAGAGCAGACAUCCCCAGCCUGGAGAGACCUGGAUCCUUUCCCAGGUGCUGGACCCCACUGUUGGUCACCCUGGAACAUUUGCAUCCCCUCUUAAUCUGAGGGGGAAAUCCCAGGUCCAGGGCCCUCCCUGAGCCAGUCCCCAGCACCUCUGGAGCAGGCUGGGGACCUCUCAAAGGCAAACUGGAAAAUUGUGGGAGAGAUCACUGGGAGAUUCAGGGGCUGUUAGCAAGGGGCCAUCUCAGCCUCGGGUUUUGUGGAGCCAUUAAAGGUAGCAGAGGAGUUUGGGUGGAAUAAAUGAGAUUCCAGUCCUGUUGGAAGCUGCA
ensembl:lncRNA